rnacentral:lncRNA from 1 species
AUGCAGUACUCACUGUUGACACUUCUGGAAACUUGCAUCACUGGUGGAGGUUCUCCACUGGAGGAAUUACUUUUACCCCCACAGACAGACAGAUUCAUAAAUCAAACUGAGAUCGCCACCGCCGGAGGAUCAACAUUACAGGGGAUCCGUGAUGGGUGCUCACCCCAGGUGCCAACAUCCUCCGAACCACUCACACAGUCCUGCUGCCAGGUUUUCCAUUCAGUGCAGGGGAGACACCUUUCCAGUCAAAUGUGUCUCUUUCUUGGCUUUUUAGCACUGUUACCGCUAAUUGCUGAGAGAUCAAUCGAACCCUGGCCUGUUGCUAUGAUUUCAUUGACCAAAGUGGCUCUUUGCCCCUAUCGACAACUCAUUAUUGAACACUAAAUCACCCAUUCCAUGAACCUCUCUGCAGCCAUUAACUCAAGUGGACUGGAUUAACUUCUUUUACAAAGACCCUUCUUUUACCUGGAAUUUUGGGAUCCAUGUGCUAUCACAGAGAAAAAAUAAAUAUGCAUCUUCUUUGUAGAAUGUGGCUCCACGGAAAUUAGACUGUUUAAUCAAAACAGGCUAAGAUGAGCUAAGGGCACAUACGCCUUCGUUAUUUGCUCUGCUUCUGGGGCUUAUUUUAAAAUCAGACUUUCUUCAUUUUUUAUUAUCUGUAUCACAAGCCCUUUUCUCUUCAGGCCUGGUUUUAUUUAGAGAUCCUAGCAAGCAAGCCCUCCUCCUCCUUCACAGCCUUUGUUCUUUGCCUUUAUGUUUGAGCAUCUGGCUCUGAGAAGGAUGUUCUGUUUCAGGGUGCUGGAUUCUUUCAUUCUGAGCAGAAUGGAGUUUGCUCCGCGUACCAGCCCUGCCGGCUGUUGAUUGUGAUGAGUACCAUACCCACUGCAAAAAAAAAAAAAAAAAAAGUGUUCUUUUUACUGUAUAAUUAACUCUAUCUGCUUGGCUGUGGUGGUGCUCACUUUUAAUUACAUGCACUUUGGGGUUUUUCAUUGAGUUUCAAAGACUUGAUGUGAGAGGCUCUGGUCACGGCUCCCCUGCUUGUGUCCGAGAUGGGUUUGUGUGUGUGGGCAAUUAUCUCUGCUCCUGUGAGUGGCUUUCCUGGUGGGUAGUAAUUCAUGACACCUUAUAGGACACAUUCUUUACAUAGAGCAUCUGCUCGGAAAGCACAGAAUUUCAGUGUUAUUGCAACACAAUGAUCAACUGAUAGAGCAUGCUCAUUUCUUCCUCACUAAAUUACACCUUUCCAAAGGAUCAUUUUGG